AUUGAACGCUGGCGGCAUGCUUUACACAUGCAAGUCGAACGGCAGCGCGGGCUUCGGCCUGGCGGCGAGUGGCGAACGGGUGAGUAAUGCAUCGGAACGUGCCCAGUAGUGGGGGAUAGCCCGGCGAAAGCCGGAUUAAUACCGCAUACGACCUGAGGGUGAAAGCGGGGGACCGAAAGGCCUCGCGCUAUUGGAGCGGCCGAUGUCGGAUUAGCUAGUUGGUGGGGUAAAGGCUUACCAAGGCGACGAUCCGUAGCUGGUCUGAGAGGACGACCAGCCACACUGGGACUGAGACACGGCCCAGACUCCUACGGGAGGCAGCAGUGGGGAAUUUUGGACAAUGGGGGCAACCCUGAUCCAGCCAUGCCGCGUGCGGGAAGAAGGCCUGCGGGUUGUAAACCGCUUUUGUUCGGGAAGAAAUCCUCUGGGCUAAUACCCCGGGGGGAUGACGGUACCGGAAGAAUAAGCACCGGCUAACUACGUG
rnacentral:rRNA from 1 species